rnacentral:rRNA from 1 species
UGUUAAAGAUUAAGCCAUGCAUGUGUAAGUAUAAAGACCAAGUAGGAUGAAACUGCGGACGGCUCAUUACAACAGUUAUAGUUUCUUUGGUUAGUACAAAAAGGAUAACUCUGUUAAUUGUAGAGCUAAUACUUGAGACUUUCCACUCUCUUUCCAAGAUUGUGGCGACUAGAUUUCGAUCUAGUUAUCAAUUAUUCCAUUCUGAAUGCUGGAAUAAGGACAAUUGUAGAAUCCAUCGGAUUUUCCAAGUAACCAAUGAGAAUUUCUGACUUAUCAACCUGUAGGUAAGGUAGUGGCUUACCUUGGUGAUCACGAGUAACGAGAAAUAAGGGUUUGACAUCGGAGAGGGAGCCUUAAAAAUGGCUACCACUUCCAAGGAAGGCAGCAGGCGCGAAAAUUACCCACUUGGGACUCCCAGAGGUAGUGAAGACAAAUAACUAAAUUCUGUCCUUUGGAUAGGAUUUAAGGGAUGAGCUAGACGUUAAUACUCUAGUGAAAGCGAUUGGAGGGCAAGUCUGGUGCCAGCAGCCGCGGUAAUUCCAGCUCCAAUAGUGUAUAUUAAAGUUGUUGUGAUUAAAAAGCUCGUAGUUGAAUUUGACAUGGACUCUUGGAUCAUUCUCUUUUAUCCAAAAGAGAGCGAUUCCUUCCACAGUCCUCAACACCUUUCAUGUUGCUUCUCUCGAGAGGCUCAUGGAGAUAUUUACUUUGAAUAAAUAUGAGUGUUUAAAGCAAAGCAUUUGCUAAUUAAAUAUGAAGCAUGGGAUAAUCAUGAGGAGAUACAUUUCAUUUUCACACUUGUGAAACAUGAUUGUAUUUCUAGAUCAAGAUUAAGAGAAAGAGACGGGGUGAUUUAUACGGAAAUGGGAGAGGUGAAAAUCCAUGAUCAUUUUAGGAUAAACUGAAGCGAAAGCAUUUCACUUGAAUCUUUUCAUUAAUCAAGAACGAAAGUUAGGGGAUCGAAGACGAUUAGAUACCGUCGUAGUCCUAACUAUAAACGAUGUCAACGAAGGAUUGGAUUGAAUUAAAGCUAGCACUUGCUUCCGCUUGUACUAGCACUAUACUUCAGUUCAGGACUUGAGGGGAAACCUUUAGUUAAUGGACUUCAGGGGGAGUAUGCUCGCAAGGGUGAAACUUAAAGGAAUUGACGGAAGGGCACACCAGGAGUGGAGCCUGCGGCUUAAUUGACUCAACACGGGAAAACUUACCAAGACCGAACAGUAGAAGGAAUGACAGAUUAAGAGUUCUUUCAUGAUUUAUUGGGUAGUGGUGCAUGGCCGUUCUUAGUUGGUGGAGUGAUUUGUCAGGUUAAUUCCGGUAACGAACGAGACUGAAACCUAUUAAUUAGUUUUCUGCCUAUAAGACAGAAAUGUUCGCAAGAACAGGUGCGUAAGUACCACUUCUUAAAGGGACACAUUUCAAUUGUCCUAUUUUAAUUGUAGUUAUCUAAUUUCGGUUAGACCUCUUUUAACGUGGGAAAAAGAAAAAGGAAGCAUUCAGCAAUAACAGGUCUGUGAUGCCCUUAGACAUCUUGGGCCGCACGCGCGCUACAAUGGAGUUACUAGAGAGUAUUUUAUCAUUUACACCUUAUUUAUUAGGCUUUGUCUAAUAAUUAAGGAUAGUAAGUGGUGUACCGAGAUUGAAAUAGUUAAGGAAAACUCAAAAGAACGUACAUGACAGGGAUAAAUGAUUGGAAUUAUUUGUUUUGAACGAGGAAUUCCUUGUAAUAUCGAGUCAUUAACUCGAGAUGAAUACGUCCCUGCCCUUUGUACACACCGCCCGUCGCUCCUACCGAUUGAAUAAAGAGGUGAAAUUCUAGGAUUCUGUCUUAUAGAUAGAAAAAUGGAUUUAAAUCUCCUUAUUUAGAGG